UUUGUUUUUUUUUUCCGUUAGAAAAGAAAAGUGUCUGGGGGGCUCAAGUUUGAGUUGAAACCAGGCUCAGGGUCCACCUGUCCUCGCUGAUCCGUGGAUUUCUGUGUGACCAGCUGACACCUAUGGAGCUGUGGCCCUGACUACUACCAGCUUGCUCAUCCCUCUACUCACACAGUCACCCCUCCCCUCACUCUCAUUUAUGCUUCACCUGUGAAUGGUGGUCCUGGGAAAGCCACUGCUGGAGCCCGGGUGAGCCUGGGGGCUCCUCCCACUCUGUCCCUCCCUGAGACAGCCCUCGCCACAGCUCCCGAGCCGGCCACCACGUCCCUGCAUACUUGAUCAUCAACUGUGCCACCAGAAGC